rnacentral:rRNA from 1 species
UACGGAGGGUGCGAGCGUUGUCCGGAAUCACUGGGCGUAAAGGGCGCGUAGGCGGCCGAGGCAGUCCGUGGUGAAAGCUCGGGGCUCAACCCUGAGUCGGCCACGGAUACUCUUCGGCUGGAGCACUGUAGAGGCAGAUGGAAUUCCGGGUGUAGCGGUGGAAUGCGUAGAGAUCCGGAAGAACACCGGUGGCGAAGGCGGUCUGCUGGGCAGUUGCUGACGCUGAGGCGCGACAGCGUGGGGAGCAAACAGG